GUUGAAAUAUCAAUGAUACACUUAAAAACUUUUGUUUAAGAAUUAUGGUUUUCAGACUAAUUCCACUUUUAGUGUUAGCACUGUCUUUUCUAGGCUAAGACACUAACAUGAGCCAGAUGAUUUAGCUCUGCUUGCUUAGCAGAACCAGUGGAAAUUUGAGCCAUAGGAUUCUUAACUAAGAAGUUAAGGAAGUGAAUUCUUUUUCUCUGCUAUCACAAAUAAUACUUUCAGAGGAAAGUAAGUCAAUUUCUGAGAAAUUGGGGUUUUUGAAGCGUUUUAGAACAAAUGUAUAUUGUCUUUUCAGUUAGGUUUUAUUGCAGUUAUAGCUCUGAAUGAGAAUGCUUAUGAACACAGUUUUUUAAAGUAUUUAAGUCUGUCCAAAUAAAUUUUUAAUUACUUGUAAUUCAAUAAAACCAUUAAUAAAAACCAUUGUCUUCUCAAAAGCUAGACUGGCCUACUGCAUCUGCAUUGACUCCAUUCCUAUUUGUCAUAAUGUCAUUAUCAUCCUCACCGCUUUCUGUAAUACGCUACCGUGCCAGGUAAAGACAAAGCAAGAAUUUGGGUUUGGAUAUAUUGCAAAAAUUUUGCAUUUUCUACUUCUCCUCUCCACAAAUAUGUAAACAAAAUACAGAAAAAUCCUUAGUAUAUUCAGUUAAAUUUGCCUUAUCCUGGAUUUUCCUUAGAUUUAUAUUUUCUGAGCCAGAAACACAUAUUUUAACAUUUACCUUUAAAGUCUGCUAGGAAUUUAGUUCUAUUUAUAUAACUAAGAUAACUUUUACUAUUUAUUUUCCCCAGUGAUUUCAUGCACAAAAGACAUAACCGUUUCAUCAUAGGCGAUGCCUCACAAAGUGAUUUGGACAUGUAAACCAGAUAGAAAAUAAGGUCAUAAACAUAUUUAUUUAUGAUAAAAGAAAGUAGAAAAAAGACUGAAACUGUAACUUUCAGAUUUAAUUUCUUUGUAGCAUUGGUGGUAAGGCUAGCCUAACUUAUUCUCCUUUCCUUACUUUUUCUGGAACAUAAUAUAUUAUGUGUGAGGAUGUGGAUGUCUUAAUAUGAAUUUUAACUUACAAUUUCCAGUCCCCAAUACUGAUUAUAAAAUUAUCUAUCUGUUCCUUCCUUCUAGUGCCUUUUAUCCUAGGGUAUUAGCUUUAUUUAUAAAAUUCUAGUGCUUUAUGUUUGUAACUUUGCCUUUUUAUAUUUAGGAUUUUUAUUAAACAUCAUAGCUUACAGUAUUAGCUUUGAGUAUUGAGUGAACCAUUUAAGAUAUAUUUUAUAUCAUUAAUGUUAAGAAUAAAAGUUAAAAAGAUCUCUACAGAGUAAUAGUCAAAGAUUGAUGGCAUGUAUUUGGUGACCAUUGAUCAUUACUAUGUUUAUUCUUAUCCUUCUGUGUUAUAUUACUAGAAUUUAGGGCUGCCACAAGUAUUCCUUAACCCUUGCUCUGUUUAGUUAUUCUUAAAUUAUGCAUUAUUUAAAUAUAGGAAUUCUCUAUUUUAAGUACUUUUGUCCUGGAGUUUCCCUUAGUUUUGGCACAAUAGAAGAAACACUCAUAGUGAUCUCUUAUCUCAUACUGCUAUUAUUUUUAUGGGCACACAGUAAUUUUGUUUCCUGUGUACUCUAAAGAACCAUGAAGUUAGGGUAGUAAAUGUGUAGUUAAUAAGAUUAUCAUUCUGAUGAAAGUAAAGUCCAUUUGCUCUGUUCUUAUGAGGUAUAAAGUCUGUGGUGUGCUUUAGGCUAUGAAUUUAAUUUUUUUUGUUUCAUUUACUUAUAAAUAUUUAUAACCACUUCAUUUUCAUUUAAUUCAAUGUAAAUUAUAGUUAAAUGGAAAAUUAAGCAUAGCAAAUAUAGGCUGUUUUUUAUACUUGUAAACCUUGUUUAAGGAAAGUGAAGUUAAUAGUCUUAAAAAUGUAUAAAUAUAAAGAGUGAUUUAUUACUGUAAAUUAUCUGAUAAAAUGUAUUCAUUGUGCCAUGCUAUCUUAUGCAUAUAAUUUCUAUAAGCCUGUAUGCUUUCUUAUCCUUUUAUUUGAAAUUAAAUCUCUGUGAACAUCUCAGUGAUUUUGUCAGAAUAAUUGUAAGAAAAGUACAGCACUUUUAUUUGAAUUACGAAAAUGAUAUUUUAGUCUGUAAAUAUGCUGUGUGCUUGAUUUGUGAAUUUAUUUGAAAUGCAUUUCUCAUUAUAUAUUUUGACAAUUAGGAGUUUGAAAGAACCCAGGAAUUAGAUUUCUUUUUUAAAAAGUAGUGAGUAACUUCUCUUUUAAUUAAUUAGCCUUCUUCCCUCUCAAGAAUGUAAUGCUUCAUUAUUGAGGGUGGCUCAGUCGUCUAAGCAUCUGUCCUCAGCUCAGGUCACGAUCUCAUGGCUCAUGGGUUCGAUCCCCACAUCAGGGUCUGUGCUGACCACUCAGAGCCUGGAGCCUGCUUUGGAUUUUGUGUCUCCCUUUCUCUUUGCCCCUCCCCUGCUCACACUGUCUUUCUCAAAAAUAAAUUAAAAAAAAAAAAAAAAAAGAAUAUAAUGCUUCCUUCUUAAAAAGAAAAUAGAAAACUACACAUGACAGCUUUAUAAAUACAGGGAAUCUUUUUCUUAUAAAUAAUACAUGUUUUAAAAUUCACAUUGGUGUUUUAUCAAACUUACCUGUCAGACUAAGCAGUUUACUUACAUUUUAUAAAUGCACUCCCAAGUGGCUAAUUUUUUUAUUAAAAAAAUUUUUUAAUGUUUAUUUUUGAGAGAGAGAGAGUGGGAGCUCAAGUGGGAGAGGGGCAGAGAGAGAGAGGGAGACACAGAAUCUGAAGCAGGUUCCAGGCUCUGAUUCAGGCUGUGAUCUGUCAGCACAGAGCCUGACAUGGGGCUCAAACCCACAAAACAUGAGAUGACAGAGCCAGCCAGGCACUCCUAAGUGGAUAAUAUUUUAAUGCAGGUUCAUUCAGAAUGUUACUAGGCUUACAACAGAUAAUAAAGCCAAUAUAUGCAAAAAGCACCAGAAGGAAUUCACUAUAAGAGAUAAAAAUUUGAGAAAAUUUGUGUAUAUUUUAUGGAUUUUUAUUUUAACCCUUAAAAGGUAAUGCAGUUACUAAAAUAUUUCAGUUAACACAGUUUAUUUGAAAGGAGGAGAACUCCAACUGUAAAAGGAAUUACACUUGCCAUAAAACCCAUGGAAAUCUUGAAAAAAGUAGGUCAGAUUUCAGUUUUACUGGCUUUGACAUUUUAGGAACUCUUCCGAAUGGAAGGAAACUCUUACAUAACAUAGGUGUAGCAGGCUGACAGAACUGCUAAAUAGGACGGAGUGAGGCUUUGUUACUGAUCAACUUUUUGAAUCCCAGUCUUUCUCCUGCAUAUAGAGAUGAAAGAAUCACUGGAUAAGAACAUUUUUCAUUUAAGAUAUCUGGUCUUUUUUCUGAUCUUCCAAAGAGCCUCCAAAGAUACUUCAGUUAUGGAUUUUUCUUUCCAAGUAUCCAAACAGACUUCUGAUAUAAGCAACAUUUUAAAGCUGUCUUGCCUUGAACUUUGCCAAAAAACCCUUUUUAUGAGACAUUUGAGAUGCUUUAAAUCAAAGAUUAGGGGGGCGCCUGGGUGGCUCAGUCGGUUAAGUGGCCGACUUCGGCUCGGGUCAUGAUCUCGCGGUCCAUGAGUCUGAGCCCCACGUUGGGCUCUGUGCUGACAGCUCAGAGCCUGGAGCCUGUUUCGGAUUCUGUGUCUCCCUCUCUCUCUCUGACCCUCCCCCGUUCAUGCUCUCUCUCUGUCUCAAAAAUAAAUAAACAUUAAAAAAAAAUUAAAAAAAAAAGAUUAGGGAAAAUUUGUAUUUCAAUUUAGAAAGGAAUUAGCAAAAUUGUGAUGGGAUAUGUUGGGUAAUGUGAUUUUAAAUAAAGAGAAGUAGCAUUACAUUUCAGAAUUGCAUGCCUUCAGCCUAUUUCAUUUACAUUUCUCUCAAAGGAGAUAUUAAAAAGAAUGCGUUCUUUUUUUUCUCAUUUGUCUAUCUCUGUAGUAUUCCCUUCUUUCAGUGACUAGUUUUGCGCCCCUAGCUGUACACAUUUUAAAUUGUUGAUAUAGUUAAAUAGCCUUAUGGUAGUGAAGAGCUGCUUUUUAAAUUUCCACACUGUAUUUAUAAUUUGUAAGGAUAAAUUGGUGAUUGGAGACUGAGUUUUCUCUGUUUGAAGAUGUUACUGCUUGAGGUCAGGAAAUAAUUGAUAUUAGAUGUAUUUGUCCAAGGUUAUUUAGUAGAAGCUGGAAGAAAAUGAUUAGACAAAUAUUUGUGCCUUUCUAUAUACCAGAGAAAGAAUAAUGUACAAUUCAAGUUAAUACAUAUUAAAAUUAAAUGUGCAUCUUUAUAGAAAAUUAAUGAUUAUUAUAUAAUUGAUACUAUUAUUGGAAAGGUACACACUUAAGAAACAUAUAAUAUGCCAUCUUACAUGAUAUGAAGAAAAUUGGAUUUGUGCUCACUGAAGAAUAAAUAAAUAUUCAAAAUGAGAUGAUGAUCAGGCUUGCCAUAGCCAGUAUUUAUGAAGUGAAAUAAAUAUUGUUUAUUUCAUUGACUUCAAGUAUAAAUGGAAAGGAUACCAAAUAUAUGCCUGGACCUAUUUAUAUAUUAAUGAUUAUAACUUUGCUACACUAUUUUUAUGUAAAAAAAGAAUUCAUCAUUCUGAUUGCAAAUGCUAAAAUAUAAUUUGCAUUAAUUCUAUAGUAUUUUGUAAUAUAAGUUGGUUAGAUAAGUAUGUGUUAUAAUAUAGACACGCUUUGAAAUUGCCUAAGUAAGCAAAGUGUAUUUGCAAAUUUAUGUCUGGCAUUUAAAAUAAAUGCUUAUUUCAGUGGUAUAAAUUAAGUAUUUAAUCAUGUAUUAGAGAGUUUUGCAGGUUCAUACAUUUACCCUACUUUGUGUCAGUAGUCAGUUUUAGAAUAAAAUAGAAUUAUUAUCCAAUAAGUAAAAACCAGAUUCUUUUAUCAGUUAAUCUGUUGUAUAAGAAUGGGUUUAUCACCAAAGUGUAUUAUGUAUAGGAGAAUAAAAAACUACAUGCAACUGCAA